rnacentral:rRNA from 1 species
GAUCAGUGGCUCAGAGCGAACGCUGGCGGCAGGCUUAACACAUGCAAGUCGAGCGGGCGUAGCAAUACGUCAGCGGCAGACGGGUGAGUAACGCGUGGGAACGUACCUUUUGGUUCGGAACAACACAGGGAAACUUGUGCUAAUACCGGAUAAGCCCUUACGGGGAAAGAUUUAUCGCCGAAAGAUCGGCCCGCGUCUGAUUAGCUUGUUGGUGAGGUAACGGCUCACCAAGGCGACGAUCAGUAGCUGGUCUGAGAGGAUGAUCAGCCACAUUGGGACUGAGACACGGCCCAGACUCCUACGGGAGGCAGCAGUGGGAAUAUUGGACAAUGGGCGAAAGCCUGAUCCAGCCAUGCCGCGUGAGUGAUGAAGGCCCUAGGGUUGUAAAGCUCUUUCAACGGUGAAGAUAAUGACGGUAACCGUAGAAGAAGCCCCGGCUAACUUCGUG